rnacentral:rRNA from 1 species
AUUGAACGCUGGCGGCAGGCCUAACACAUGCAAGUCGAGCGAGCGGCGGACGGGUGAGUAAUACGUGAGUAACCUGCCCUCCUUUUUGGGAUAAGCCUUGGAAACGGGGUCUAAUACCGAAUAAAGGGGGAUGGGCUCGCGGCCUAUCAGCUUGUUGGUGGGGUGAUGGCCUACCAAGGCGGUGACGGGUAGCCGGCCUGAGAAGGCGACCGGCCAGAAUGGGACUGCGAUACGGCGCAAGCUGCAACGGGAGGCAGCAGUGGGGAAGAUUGCACAAUGGGGGAAACUCUGAUGCAGGAACGCCGGGUGCGGAAUGACGGCCUUCGGGUUGUAAACCGCUUUCCGGUAGUCGCAGAAGAAGCACCGGCUAACUACGUGCCAGCAGCCGCGGUAAUUC